UUAAGCGACUAAGCGUACACGGUGGAUGCCCUGGCAGUCAGAGGCGAUGAAGGACGUGCUAAUCUGCGAAAAGCGUCGGUAAGGUGAUAUGAACCGUUACAGCCGGCGAUGUCCGAAUGGGGAAACCCAGUGCAAUUCGUUGCACUAUCGUUAACUGAAUACAUAGGUUAACGAGGCGAACCGGGGGAACUGAAACAUCUAAGUACCCCGAGGAAAAGAAAUCAACCGAGAUUCCCCCAGUAGCGGCGAGCGAACGGGGAGCAGCCCAGAGUCUGAAUCAGCUUGUGUGUUAGUGGAACGGUCUGGAAAGUCCGACGGUACAGGGUGAUAGUCCCGUACACCAAAAUGCACAGGCUGUGAACUCGAAGAGUAGGGCGGGACACGUGGUAUCCUGUCUGAAUAUGGGGGGACCAUCCUCCAAGGCUAAAUACUCCUGACUGACCGAUAGUGAACCAGUACCGUGAGGGAAAGGCGAAAAGAACCCCGGCGAGGGGAGUGAAAAAGAACCUGAAACCGUGUACGUACAAGCAGUGGGAGCACCUUCGGGUGUGACUGCGUACCUUUUGUAUAAUGGGUCAGCGACUUAUAUUCUGUAGCAAGGUUAACCGUAUAGGGGAGCCGCAGGGAAACCGAGUCUUAACUGGGCGUUAAGUUGCAGGGUAUAGACCCGAAACCCGGUGAUCUAGCCAUGGGCAGGUUGAAGGUUGGGUAACACUAACUGGAGGACCGAACCGACUAAUGUUGAAAAAUUAGCGGAUGACUUGUGGCUGGGGGUGAAAGGCCAAUCAAACCGGGAGAUAGCUGGUUCUCCCCGAAAGCUAUUUAGGUAGCGCCUCGUGAACUCAUCUUCGGGGGUAGAGCACUGUUUCGGCUAGGGGGUCAUCCCGACUUACCAACCCGAUGCAAACUACGAAUACCGAAGAAUGUUAUCACGGGAGACACACGGCGGGUGCUAACGUCCGUCGUGAAGAGGGAAACAACCCAGACCGCCAGCUAAGGUCCCAAAGUCAUGGUUAAGUGGGAAACGAUGUGGGAAGGCACAGACAGCCAGGAUGUUGGCUUAGAAGCAGCCAUCAUUUAAAGAAAGCGUAAUAGCUCACUGGUCGAGUCGGCCUGCGCGGAAGAUGUAACGGGGCUAAACCAUGCACCGAAGCUGCGGCAGCGACACUAUGUGUUGUUGGGUAGGGGAGCGUUCUGUAAGCCUGCGAAGGUGACCUGUGAGGGUUGCUGGAGGUAUCAGAAGUGCGAAUGCUGACAUAAGUAACGAUAAAGCGGGUGAAAAGCCCGCUCGCCGGAAGACCAAGGGUUCCUGUCCAACGUUAAUCGGGGCAGGGUGAGUCGACCCCUAAGGCGAGGCCGAAAGGCGUAGUCGAUGGGAAACAGGUUAAUAUUCCUGUACUUGGUGUUACUGCGAAGGGGGGACGGAGAAGGCUAUGUUAGCCGGGCGACGGUUGUCCCGGUUUAAGCAUGUAGGCUGGUUGUCCAGGCAAAUCCGGAUAAUCAAGGCUGAGGUGUGAUGACGAGGCACUACGGUGCUGAAGUAACAAAUGCCCUGCUUCCAGGAAAAGCCUCUAAGCAUCAGGUAACAUCAAAUCGUACCCCAAACCGACACAGGUGGUCAGGUAGAGAAUACCAAGGCGCUUGAGAGAACUCGGGUGAAGGAACUAGGCAAAAUGGUGCCGUAACUUCGGGAGAAGGCACGCUGGUGUGUAGGUGAAGUCCCUGCGGAUGGAGCUGAGACCAGUCGAAGAUACCAGCUGGCUGCAACUGUUUAUUAAAAACACAGCACUGUGCAAACACGAAAGUGGACGUAUACGGUGUGACGCCUGCCCGGUGCCGGAAGGUUAAUUGAUGGGGUUAUCCGUAAGGAGAAGCUCUUGAUCGAAGCCCCGGUAAACGGCGGCCGUAACUAUAACGGUCCUAAGGUAGCGAAAUUCCUUGUCGGGUAAGUUCCGACCUGCACGAAUGGCGUAAUGAUGGCCAGGCUGUCUCCACCCGAGACUCAGUGAAAUUGAACUCGCUGUGAAGAUGCAGUGUACCCGCGGCAAGACGGAAAGACCCCGUGAACCUUUACUAUAGCUUGACACUGAACAUUGAGCCUUGAUGUGUAGGAUAGGUGGGAGGCUUUGAAGCGUGGACGCCAGUCUGCGUGGAGCCAACCUUGAAAUACCACCCUUUAAUGUUUGAUGUUCUAACGUUGGCCCCUGACCGGGGUUGCGGACAGUGUCUGGUGGGUAGUUUGACUGGGGCGGUCUCCUCCCAAAGCGUAACGGAGGAGCACGAAGGUUAGCUAAUCCUGGUCGGACAUCAGGAGGUUAGUGCAAUGGCAUAAGCUAGCUUGACUGCGAGCGUGACGGCGCGAGCAGGUGCGAAAGCAGGUCAUAGUGAUCCGGUGGUUCUGAAUGGAAGGGCCAUCGCUCAACGGAUAAAAGGUACUCCGGGGAUAACAGGCUGAUACCGCCCAAGAGUUCAUAUCGACGGCGGUGUUUGGCACCUCGAUGUCGGCUCAUCACAUCCUGGGGCUGAAGUAGGUCCCAAGGGUAUGGCUGUUCGCCAUUUAAAGUGGUACGCGAGCUGGGUUUAGAACGUCGUGAGACAGUUCGGUCCCUAUCUGCCGUGGGCGCUGGAGAAUUGAGGGGGGCUGCUCCUAGUACGAGAGGACCGGAGUGGACGCAUCACUGGUGUUCGGGUUGUCAUGCCAAUGGCACUGCCCGGUAGCUAAAUGCGGAAGAGAUAAGUGCUGAAAGCAUCUAAGCACGAAACUUGCCCCGAGAUGAGUUCUCCCUGAGACUUUAAGUCUCCUGAAGGAACGUUAAAGACGAUGACGUUGAUAGGCCGGGUGUGUAAGCGCAGCGAUGCGUUGAGCUAACCGGUACUAAUGAACCGUGAGGCUUAACCUU
rnacentral:rRNA from 1 species